AAUGGCACUGGAAGAAUUCAC
rnacentral:ncRNA from 4 species